GAAAGCUAGAGGACCCGCCCGCCGCCGCCUGGUGACCAUGGGCAGGCUGGGAACGCGCAGGCACUGCGGGUGCGGGAAAGCCAAAGACUGACCCCGCACCACCGGCUAGCCAGCCACACGUGUUCCAAGGGAGGGCCUCCGAGCCCCCUGAUUUAAGCCCACGGCCGCCCAGCCUCUUCCGGGCUCGCGCCCGCGGGGAGAAAAAAGAAACCUAAUGGCCCACCAGCCUUGCAGGUGUCCGGAACACGUGGAAAGGUAUUUUUUAGCUUACUUCUAGAGAACUUCUGGACUCGGUCACUGUUUGCGUAGCAGCAACUAGGUCUCUCUGUGUUGAACAAUCUUGUCUUGAAUUUCUGGCUUUGAACUCCUGGCCUCAAGUGAUCUUUCUGCCUUGAACUCCCAAAGUGUUGGGAUGACAGAAUGUGAUCUCUGCACAUGUUGGCCCUUUGUCAUUUUCUGCCAUGAGGGGAAGCAGCCUGUGGCUUGCACCAGAAGCAGAUGCUGGUGUCUUGCUUCUUGUACAGCUUGCAGAACCAUACGCCAAAUAAACCUCUUUCCUUUAU
rnacentral:lncRNA from 13 species